UCCCUAUCCAGAAGCUUUGUUUGUAAACUCUAAUUCAAUUAUUCAAGUAAAUCAUUCGAAAACCUUUUUAAAACUGUUUCCCACUCGGAAGGUAGAAAACCACGAUGCAUAAAUAUACAAAUCCAAAACCAAGAACCUAUAAAACUAAUAUCACAGAUCCACAAUCUCUAAUCACAUGCAUAAUGAAAAUCAUCAACUCGAACAAUUCACGAAUAUUCAAACAUCAAAUAUGAUCAUCUAACUGAACUAUUUAUUAUAAAUUACUAAAUACAGGAAUAAAAUAUAACCUGGGUGACGGUCGCUACUGCCGACUAGCUAGAUCGUCCUCCCGUCGAGCCCAAAUACCAACUCCUCGCC
rnacentral:lncRNA from 1 species